GGCAAUCCCCUAAUGUUCCCUUCCACCUUGUGGAAGUUUUGUUCUUUCGCUCUUUGCAAUAAAUCCCAUUGUUGCUCGCUCUUUGGGGUCUCACUGUCUGUGCGAGCUGUAAUACUCGCCGCAAAGGUGUCUGGCUUCACUUCCGAGACCAGCGAGACCCCGAACCCACCGGGAGGAAUGAACAACUCCGGAUGGGAGGGACAAACAACACCAGACGCACCGCCUUAAGAGUCCUAACGCUCACCGCGGAGGUCUGCGGCUUCACUCUUGAAUGAAGCCAGCGAGAUCACAAACCCACCAGAAGGAAGGAACUCUGAACACAUCCGAAAAUCAGAAGGAACAAACUCCGGACACACUACCUUUAAGAACUGUAACACUCAAAUCGCGAGGGUCCACGGCUUCGUUCUUGAAGUCAGUGAGACCAAGAACCCACAAAUUCCGGACACUUCCCCACACAGAGGGAACUGGCCUAACACUCUGAAUCUACAUCAAGGAACUCAAGCGCUCUUGUUGUCUUCCUGGGCAGGUGGUGCCAAUAGGAUGUACUGACAGAUCAGAAGUGGUCGUGAGAGAAGGAGCAAGUAGCCAGAAGAGUGAAGUGUGCACUGGCUGAGAUGUGGGAGCAGGUGUUGUUGGUUUCCCCGGAGAUGCAGCAAGAAGGCCCUCGCCAGAUAUCAAGGCCUUAAGCUUGGACUUCCCAGCCUCCAGAACUGUCUUAUGUAUCAACAAAAUCACACCAGACCACCCAAAGCUGGCCCUGCCAACUGACCACACACACCCCUGCCUGAAAGGCAUGUUUCAAUGUGCAACAGACGCCUGCCACUCAGGGGACAUCAAAUGUUCAUGAGAACUCGCUAACCUCGAAACAGGUUCUACAAAUUCAAAAAAACCACCCGUGGCCUGGCUCUGGGCUGAAGCUGAGUCCUGGCUUGAAAUCCCCUGCCUUAAUCUCUCUUCGAAGACUUUUCUGCAUUCAUCUGAGUCCUCAUCCUCCAAGGCAGGGCUCAGGCUUGGGCUCAGGCUCCCAGCCAUGUAUCCCUCCUGGACCAUUCCUGACUCCUUUCCAGUAUCCUUAUCACUUGUACCACAUACGUUGGCCUUUGAUCCUGUGUACUGUUGGAUUUGUCUUUACUUCACAGGUUCAUCUUGUCUCCCCAAGAACAAUGAGAGUUGCCUCAAGGGGUAGAACCAUGCUUUUUGUUUUCUUUUGAAUUCAUUACAGCACAGCCAAAAGCUCAACACACAAAACACACUCAGUAAAUAUCUGUUGAACAGAAUAAAAGCCAUUCCGCAUAACCA
ensembl:lncRNA KAZN-AS1 KAZN antisense RNA 1